rnacentral:rRNA from 1 species
GACGAACGCUGGCGGCGUGCUUAACACAUGCAAGUCGAACGAUGAAGCCGGAGCUUGCUCUGGUGAAUUAGUGGCGAACGGGUGAGUAACACGUGAGUAACCUGCCCUUGACUCUGGGAUAACUGCUAGAAAUGGUAGCUAAUACCGGAUACGACCCUCGGCGGCAUCGCCAGGGGGUGGCAAGAAUUUCGGUCAAGGAUGGACUCGGGGCCUAUCAGCUAGUUGGUGAGGUAACGGCUCACCAAGGCGACGACGGGUAGCCGGCCUGAGAGGGUGACCGGCCACACUGGGACUGAGACACGGCCCAGACUCCUACGGGAGGCAGCAGUGGGGAAUAUUGCACAAUGGGCGCAAGCCUGAUGCAGCAACGCCGCGUGAGGGAUGACGGCCUUCGGGUUGUAAACCUCUUUUAGUAGGGAAGAAGCGAAAGUGACGGUACCUGCAGAAAAAGCACCGGCUAACUACGUGCCAGCAGCAGCCGCGG